rnacentral:rRNA from 1 species
UACGUAGGGGGCUAGCGUUGUCCGGAUUUAUUGGGCGUAAAGAGCGUGUAGGCGGCCAGGUAGGUCUGGUGUGAAAACUCGAGGCUUAACCUUGAGAUGUCAUCGGAAACCAUUUGGCUAGAGUCCGGAAGAGGAAAGUGGAAUUCCCGGUGUAGUGGUGAAAUGCGUAGAUAUCGGGAGGAACACCAGUGGCGAAGGCGACUACCUGGCCUGUUCUUGACGCUGAGGCGCGAAAGCUAGGGGAGCAAACGGG